rnacentral:snRNA from 1 species
AGAAUGGAUGGGAAUCCUCUUUAAGACCUGAAGGGCACCAUGUUGUUUUCCCAGGGUGCGGCUCAGCCAUUGCACUCCGGCUGUGCUGACGCCUGCGAUUUCCCCAAAUGCGGGAAACUCAACGGCAUAAUUUGUGGCUCCAGGUCCACACCUGU